rnacentral:lncRNA from 1 species
GCUGGAUUUGCACUCAGGAUCCUCCUGCCUUAUCCUCCUGAGCCUCUGAGAUUACAGGUGUGCACUACCAAGCCCAGCUUCCCUCAUGUUUUAUAAGUUUUUAUGUUAGUAAUGAUAGUGGAGUGGCAAGAUAUUCCCACUACUGAAGUAAAUGUGGAAGAUGUUUAGUAAAGAUAAACUGGAGUUUUUCUUUAUGCCUGGAUGUGGCAUAAAGAAUAAUUCUACAGUGAGUAGCUCCAUAAAAGUAAGUAAAUAAUUCUGUAGCGAGUAUCUCCAUAAAAGUAAAGCAGCCAUUUAGGUAAUUAGCUUUUUCCCAGGUUAGCCCCUCAUAAAUGAAAGUGAAUAUAAACACAAGGACCAUUACUAAAACAGUGCAUGCACAGGGCCCUGAGCUUCGUGACAUUUAUACACAUAACAGAUCCCUCUUCACACAUCAAUAAUAACAUUUGUUCAGAUGGACAGCACUGGGAAUGAAAGGAAAGCCAAAAACAACAGAUCACCUAGUGAAAGCUCAGGUGCUAGAAGUUGACAGGGGAAGAUAGGUGGAAGCAACACCCCAGAGAGUUGCAGCUCUUUGCCUGAAGAUUGGUAUGCUGUCAGGCAGAGCUACUCCAAAGGGUGCUGGUGGUGAGUUUAAGCUUUAAAUCAUUGCCAGUAUUAGUACAGAACAAGAA